rnacentral:rRNA from 1 species
AUGGCCACCAUGGCGAGCAUGGCCGCGGAGGCUAUCGCCGAGAUCCGGCGCCGCAUAGUUGGUGCCGUCGAGCUGGUCCUGGAUCUUGAAGUAGUGGAGCUCAUCCAGCGAGUCCUCCGCCUCGUCGGCCUUCUUGCUCAGCUCCUCCAACAAGGCCUGCAGGGCGGUGACGUUGCUCACGUCCCUCCCCUCGGCCACUUGCAGCAGCCCUUGUGUGUGCAACAGUUUUGUUUUGAUCUGCUGGGAGUUGUGGCCGAGCUCAAGGCUGUGGACAUACGCGGCCACCAGGUCUUCAGACAGCUUCGUGAGCAACUUGCCAAGGAGCGAGCUCGCCGCGCCGACAGCCACCUCCAUCCGCACUCCGGUUCACCUUGUCGAGGAUUGGAGUGGUUGGGACUUGGGAAUUGGGAGUAA